CAAGAACUUCACCAUUACCCUCAGCACAGCGCCAAGGCCCCACCACUUGUAGAGCUAUAUUUACAUAAGGGCAAGUGUCUGUUAUAUUUGACAGGGUUUUCAUGUAUAAGCGCCUGGCCGUGGGCUCUGUAUGGCAACAAAACCACUCUUCUGUUCCCUCUGAAGGAACAUGUCGAUGCCACGAAGGAGGACUUUGGUGAAACUGACCUUGUUCUGUUCUCAGAUGUAAUCCUUGAACUGUCCAUACUUCUGUCCUCAGCAGACAAGAGGCCAAUGCCCUGGUCAGAUGAAGUUUCUGGAAAAUGGGUGAGGUCCGAUGGGGCUGAGGGGGUGUUUGCCUGCAGCUACAGGUCUGAGAAAGUCUUAGUUGGGGAAAGUAGACCCAAGAGACAAGAAAUAGUUCAAAGCAUUCAGGGUACAGAGGGUUGGCCGAAGAGGAACAGUUUGGCAGAAGCAGCCCCAGGAGAUGCCCAGUUAGAGCCAAGGCUGCAGGAGCCAAGGACGGCGGGGGAGGGGCAGAUCUAGAAGCAGAUUCCCGCCACUCAAUGGCCCCCAAGGAGAGGAAGGCUUUUCUGGCUGCCUGUGACGUCACCCAUGGGCAGCUGUUAGGGUGAAGCGUUAUUUCUAAAAUUGCCCAAACAUCAGUGACUCUUAAGGGGUAAUUUCAGACACAUCAGCAGGCUGG
rnacentral:lncRNA from 12 species